UACGUAGGGGGCAAGCGUUGUCCGGAUUUAUUGGGCGUAAAGGGCGCGUAGGCGGUGCGGUAAGUCACCUGUGAAAUCUCCUGGCUCAACUGGGAGCUUGCAGGCGAAACUGCCGUGCUGGAGUGUGGGAGAGGUGCGUGGAAUUCCUGGUGUAGCGGUGAAAUGCGUAGAUAUCGGGAAGAACACCCGUGGCGAAGGCGGCUCUCUGGGACGGUACUGACGCUGAGACGCGAAAGCGUGGGGAGCGAACAGG
rnacentral:rRNA from 1 species